AGGUGCCCAUCUGCAAGUAUCGAGGAUCUGGGUGCUGACCAGAGAGGACCAAGGAUGAGUGAUGCAGCUGAAGAUUCCACUAUUCAUGUGUCCCAGCGGAGUGGACCACCAUUGGCACGCAGGAGUACCAGAACAGGACCGUGAUGAAAAACACUUUUGAUACCAUUGUAGUAACCGCCGCCAUUUGUUGCAGGCUCCCAUGUGCCAGGCGCUAUGCUAAGAGCCUUGAAGUCAUCAGUUUGUUUCAUUGUCCCCAUGUUCCUAGGAGGAAUCCGGGGGCCCUUGUCCCCACGACCUAAUGCUGUUUGAAAAGAUGGGAAACGGGGAAAGCAGCUCUUCAUACCUUCAGCUCAGCUGAGCCAGAGCCGGCGGAUAGCUUC